rnacentral:rRNA from 1 species
GUGGGGAAUCUUAGACAAUGGGCGCAAGCCUGAUCUAGCCAUGCCGCGUGAGCGAUGAAGGCCUUAGGGUUGUAAAGCUCUUUCAGCUGGGAAGAUAAUGACGGUACCCCGCGAAUAAGCCCCGGCUAACUACGUGCCAGCAGCCGCGGUAAUACGUAGGGGGCGAGCGUUGCUCGGAUUGACUGGGCGUAAAGCGCGCGUAGGCGGUCCAUUAAGUGUGCGGUGAAAUUCGGAGGCUCAACCUCCGUCCCGCCGCGCAAACUGAUGGUCUUGAGAUUGGGAGGGGGAUGCGGAAUUCCUGGUGUAGCGGUGAAAUGCAUUGAUAUCAGGAGGAACACCGGCGGCGAAAGCGGCAUCCUGGCUUAUAUCUGACGCUGAGGCGCGAAAGCGUGGGUAGCAAACGGGAUUAGAUACCCGGGUAGUCC